GGGUCUUGUCAUCUUGGUCCAAUCUUUGUUGUGGCUGACUGAGUACUUGGGAGUUUUUCUUGGUCUGCCCUCUCUUAGGUUCCCUCAGCACUGGAGCAGGCUGUGUUUGAGGAUUCCAAGGAGCUCAUAGGCGAAAGAGAGGAAGAGCAAGGCAUUGUGGUGUUCUGCGAGGGCAUAACUGAUGCCACACCCUCCCUGAGGGAUGGACACAGAAGGUAAACAGACACCCUCAUCUCAAGAGCCAUCGUGAACUCAACUGGUUGCUGGAAAAGGCUAUUGAGGCAAAAGAAGACACAGACAGGAAAUACUCAUUGGGAAGCGAGUGUGCCCCCACUGCUCUGCACCCCCAUAUCAGGAUUAGAUGGGGUAGAGGUUAAGGAUGUGCACCUGGGGUUGGGCUUCCUGGACAUGAAUCCUAUGUACCAACGGAAUGGCUGUGGCAAGAUAAUUCACAUUCUAAAAUUAUAAGUCCUAAGACCAGGAAGUCUCCUCCUUAGUGCUAAUAUAAUGAUAGCCAUAAUAAUAAUAAUAAUAAUAAUAAUAAUAAUAAUAACAAUAAAAUAUUUGACAGCAGGCAAAUAAAAUUCAUAUUAUAGCUAUUACUUCAAAAGUAUGUGGAUGAGGCCAAAUCAUAGAUUUUUUUUUUUCAGCUUUCUCUCCUCAGGUAAGCUGAAAAGUUUAGCUGAGAUACCACACUGAAUCUGUUUAGCUGAGUUCCUGACACCUUGUUAGUUCUAUGUCUAAAAUGAGGCUGAUUUGGUGACUCAGUGGCUGGGCACUUGCCUGGCACCUGGGAGGCCCGGACUCCAUUCUCAGAUCUAAAAAACAAAUUAAAAUAUUGUCUCUGUGUUCUCUCUGAAUGCAGGAAUGAAGGCGUGUUUAAUUCUAAGCUGUUAUACAUGGCAGAUAUUCAGCAAGAAGGGAGAAAAAGCAAAGAGGAGCAGUUAGUCAGGGGUGACGCAAACCGGGCCAGCCUGAGGACCACCUGACACCGUGAACUCCUUGCUAUACUGUAUCUAGAAAGAUGCACCUGUGUGCUGUGAGAUCCUGUCAGAAAACUGUAACCUGGGAAGUGGGUGAGGGUGACUACGGGGCCCUCUAGAGAACACCUGUCUGCAGGGAUUGGCCAGUGAAGACAAAAGGAAAGACCUAAGAAGAGCCAUGGACCAGAGAAGACUACAGAGACAUGACACCUGACAUAACGUGUAAAGCUGGGCCAGCUGACUGGACCCGGGACUGUGAAAAAUGGGCCGGCCAGAUUAGUUGGACAAUGGGAAAAAUUAGAACAUGGUGUGCAGUCUAGGUCAUGUUUGUAUAUUGCUUUUGUUUUAAUCGGAGCACUGCCUUAUGGUUACUAAAGUGAGUGUCUCCAGUCUUACAAAACUUAUUGACACAGUGUACUUGGAUUUAUGUC